UCCUCCCACCGAACCAAAAGCUCUCCAUCUCUUCUUUCUCAAACCAAAGAUUUCUCUCAAAUAUCUCCUUCCAUCGAUUUUCACUCUUCAAAUCGCCCGUUUAGGAAUCAAGUUCCUCUCCUCUUCCUUCUUCAUUUGGGGUGGUUCGAGCUUUCCCUAGACUCUACCCGCCUUCUCCAAAUCGGCACAACACCUCUUCAAAAUCUUUGCCUAUCCACUAGAAUCUUUUCAUCUCUCCAUCACAUUUAGUCUCCUAAGCUCCUUUCAAGUCCUUCCUGUGCAA
rnacentral:lncRNA from 1 species